rnacentral:rRNA from 1 species
CCCUACGGGUGGCUGCAGUGGGGAAUAUUGCGCAAUGGGCGAAAGCCUGACGCAGCGACGCCGCGUGGGUGAUGAAGUUUUUCGAAACGUAAAACCCUGUCGGGAGGGACGAAGCUCUGACGGUACCUCCAAAGGAAGCCCCGGCUAACUCCGUGCCAGCAGCCGCGGUAAUACGGGGGGGGCUAGCGUUGUUCGGAAUUACUGGGCGUAAAGGGCGCGUAGGCGGCUGAGCAGGUCCGGUGUGAAAUCCCUCGGCGUAACGGAGGAAGUGCGCUGGAAACCGUUCGGCUAGAGUACAGGAGAGGAGGGCGGAAUUCUCGGUGGAGCGGUGAAAUGCGUAGAUAUCGAGAAGAACACCGGUGGCGAAGGCGGCCCUCUGGACUGUCACUGACGCUGAGGCGCGAAAGCGUGGGGAGCGAACGGGAUUAGAUACCCCUGUAGUCGC